rnacentral:tRNA from 1 species
GUCCCCAUAGUUCAAAGGACAGAACCGCGGUUUCCUAAACCGUUAAUCCGCGUUCGAAUCGCGGUGGGGGCGCCA